rnacentral:rRNA from 1 species
UAGCUAUAGGCUUAAACACAUGCAAAGUCGAGGGGAAAACGGCAGAGAGUGCUUGCACACUUUUGGGACGUCGACCGGCGCACGGGUGAGUAAACGCGUAUCCAACCUGCCCUUUACUUGGGGAUAACCCGUUGAAAGACGGACUAAUACCCAAUGAUAUUCAUUGAUGACAUCUGAUUUGAAUUAAAGAUUUAUCGGUAUAGGAUGGGGAUGCGUCUGAUUAGCUUGUUGGUGAGGUAACGGCUCACCCAAGGCCCACGAUCAGUAGGGGUUCUGAGAGGAAGGUCCCCCACAUUGGAACUGAGACACGGUCCAAACUCCUACGGGAGGCAGCAGUGAGGAAUAUUGGUCAAUGGACGAGAGUCUGAACCAGCCAAGUAGCGUGCAGGAUGACGGCCCUAUGGGUUGUAAACUGCUUUUGUUUGGGAAUAAUCGACAUUACGUGUAAUGUUUUGCAUGUACCAUUCGAAUAAGGACCGGCUAAUUCCGUGCCAGCAGCCGCGGUAAU